rnacentral:tRNA from 1 species
GCCUGGCUGGCUCAGUCGGUGGAGCAUGUGACUCUUGAUCUCAGGGUCAUGAGUUCAAGCCCAUGUUAGACA